AACGAACGCUGGCGGCAUGCCUAACACAUGCAAGUCGAACGAGACCUUCGGGUCUAGUGGCGCACGGGUGCGUAACGCGUGGGAACCUGCCCUUAGGUUCGGAAUAACUCCCCGAAAGGGGUGCUAAUACCGGAUAAUGUCUUCGGACCAAAGAUUUAUGGCCUUUGGAUGGGCCCUCGUUGGAUUAGCUAGUUGGUAGGGUAAAAGCCUACCAAGGCGACGAUCCAUAGCUGGUCUGAGAGGAUGAUCAGCCACACUGGGACUGAGACACGGCCCAGACUCGUACGGGAGGCAGCAGAGGGGUAUAUUGGACAAGGGGCGAAAGCCUGAUCCAGCAAUGCCGCGUGAGUGAUGAAGGCCUUAGGGUUGUAAAGCUCUUUUACCCGGGAUGAUAAUGACAGUACCGGGAGAAGAAGCUCCGGCUAACUCCGUG
rnacentral:rRNA from 1 species